rnacentral:lncRNA from 1 species
UUUGUGUUUUGAUUGGCCAACUUAAUUAAUUUUUUUAAUUUAAUUUAAUAGUAUAAUACUGAUAAUGUGACACCUAAUCUAAGCUAAUUAUCUAACUUAAUCCAACUAAAACCUAUCUAAUCUAAUCAUCUAAUGUAAUCCAACUAAAACCUCUAAAAUCUAGCUAUACGUUAUUAUUAUAAAUCUCUAUACAUCCGCGGCACCUCCUAAAAUAACCCAAAAAUUCAUUUUCAAAGAUUUUUCAUUCAAAAAUUUAAUUGAAAUUUUAACCAAUGAAAUUUAGCAAAAAAAUAUUUUAUUAUUUCUAAACCGGACCCGCAAACUAGUUUGAAUUUUUCUGAAAGCCAAGUAAGAAACCGGUAAACCAAGCAAAAAUCAAAUCAAAUCAUUAAGUUGCCCCAAACCAGUUCGAAUCGAACCAAAAUGACCAAAAAGACCUAGAAAACCCUAGACUUCCUUUUUCUUUUCCUUCCUUUCUUCUUCUCCCUCCAGCACCGCUCAGCCUUUCUUUCUCUGUCUCUCUGGUCCAUGAUCAUUGAUCGUCGUCGACACUGUCUUGUUGCUGCUGCUGUUCCAUCGCCACCUUUUCCUCUCACCAUUCUCAUUUUCCAAGAGAUGUAAUGAUCGUUGGAGAGCGGUGAUCUUGUCUACGAUCGAACAACUCUGCCUCCAACACUCUCCUUCGUUUUCCAGCGGUUCUAGCCCUAACAGCGAGCAUCAAUCGAUUCCUUUCCUCCUUGCGAACAAAUCACCUCAAGAAAUUCAACCUUUCGUUGGCAUUUUGGAGAGCGGACAUUAACGGUGAGAUUAGGGUGACUGUCGACCUCUCUUCGGCCAAAUAGGCCAUGUUCUGAGCAAACCACCACUGAAAAUGAACUCUUGAGUGAAAUCCGAGCCAGAAGAUGUGAAGAGCACUUGACUCCAAGCAGCCAUGGUUUUUUGGUCAUCGUGGACGGCGGCGCCGCUGACACGAGCAACCGGCCGGCGAAUCUCUAGCGAGACCCUAAGAGGCAUAAACUUGAGAAUGACUGACUGAGCCUGAGUCCGAAAUCUGAUCCGAUUUGUAAUCGAUAUAAUUUAAGAUUUAGUUUAUUAAAUUUAAUGUAUAUCUCAAUUUAGAAAUUAUUGUUAUUGGAUUAAAUUGGUCCUGAUUAAAAUAAUUAAGGAAUAAGAACAAAAUAAAAGUUUUAAUAAACUAAAAGCAAGUUAUAAUUGCUACGAUAAAAAUAAAUUGAGAACUUUGAUAAACAUGGAUUUUAUGGUAUGAAUUUUAAAUAAAAUAAGUAAAGCAUAAAAAUU